GACGAACGCUGGCGGCGUGCCUAAUACAUGCAAGUCGAACGGACAGGCGCGGAGCUUGCGGCGUGCUCGUGUGGCGAACGGGGGAGAAACACGCGUGUAAACUGCCCCUGACUUUGUGGUAAAACCUGGUAACAGCGGAUAAUAUACCAUAGAAGAUCCUGCACCAUGGUGGUCGUUGGUUAGUUUCGGCGGUUGGGGAUGGAAUAGAGGGUUACCCGCUUGUUGGUGUGGUUGUGGCUUACCAAGGCUUUGACGGCUACGCGGCCUGUGAGGGUGACCGGCCACAUGGGGACUAAGAGACGGCCCAGACUCCUACGUGAGGCAACAGUGGGAAGUAUUGCGCAAUGGGCGGAAGCCUGAUGCAGCGACGCUGCGUGCGGGAUGACGGCCUACUGGUGAUAAACCGCUUUCUCCUGUGACGAAGCGUGAGUGACGGUAAUGGGUAAAGAAGCACCGGCUAACUACGUG
rnacentral:rRNA from 1 species